CGGGGUGAGUACAACAUAGGAAAUCUGCCUUAGGGUGGGGGACAACAGAGGGAAACUUCUGCUAAUACCCCAUAUGAGCUUGGUUGAAAUACCAAUCUUGAAAGUUCCGGCGCCCUAAGAUGAGCCUGUGCCUGAUUAGCUAGUUGGUGGUGUAAUGGACUACCAAGGCGACGAUCAGUAGCUGGUUUGAGAGGAUGAUCAGCCACAAUGGGACUGAGACACGGCCCAAACUCCUACGGAAGGCAGCAG
rnacentral:rRNA from 1 species